GAUGAACGCUGGCGGCGUGCCUAAUACAUGCAAGUCGAGCGAACGGACGAGAAGCUUGCUUCUCUGAUGUUAGCGGCGGACGGGUGAGUAACACGUGGAUAACCUACCUAUAAGACUGGGAUAACUUCGGGAAACCGUAGCUAAUACCGGAUAAUAUUUUGAACCGCAUGGUUCAAAAGUGAAAGACGGUCUUGCUGUCACUUAUAGAUGGAUCCGCGCUGCAUUAGCUAGUUGGUAAGGUAACGGCUUACCAAGGCAACGAUGCAUAGCCGACCUGAGAGGGUGAUCGGCCACACUGGAACUGAGACACGGUCCAGACUCCUACGGGAGGCAGCAGUAGGGAAUCUUCCGCAAUGGGCGAAAGCCUGACGGAGCAACGCCGCGUGAGUGAUGAAGGUCUUCGGAUCGUAAAACUCUGUUAUUAGGGAAGAACAUAUGUGUAAGUAACAGUGCACAUCUUGACGGUACCUAAUCAGAAAGCCACGGCUAACUACGUG
rnacentral:rRNA from 1 species